GAUGAACGCUGGCGGCGUGCCUAAUACAUGCAAGUCGAGCGAACAGACGAGGAGCUUGCUCCUCUGACGUUAGCGGCGGACGGGUGAGUAACACGUGGAUAGCCUACCUAUAAGACUGGGAUAACUUCGGGAAACCGGAGCUAAUACCGGAUAAUAUAUUGAAUCGCAUGGUUCAAUAGUGAAAGACGGUUUUGCUGUCACUUAUAGAUGGAUCCGCGCCGCAUUAGCUAGUUGGUAAGGUAACGGCUUACCAAGGCAACGAUGCGUAGCCGACCUGAGAGGGUGAUCGGCCACACUGGAACUGAGACACGGUCCAGACUCCUACGGGAGGCAGCAGUAGGGAAUCUUCCGCAAUGGGCGAAAGCCUGACGGAGCAACGCCGCGUGAGUGAUGAAGGUCUUCGGAUCGUAAAACUCUGUUAUUAGGGAAGAACAAAUGUGUAAGUAACUAUGCACGUCUUGACGGUACCUAAUCAGAAAGCCACGGCUAACUACGUG
rnacentral:rRNA from 1 species